GCUKUACAACCSGAAGGCCUUCUUCRCUCACGSGGAAUGGCUGGAUCAGGGUUGCCCCCAUUGKCMARAAUUCCCCACUGCUGCCUCCCGUAGGAGUSUGGACCGKGUCUCAGUUCCAGKGKGACGGAUCAUCCUCUCAGACCCGCUACUGAUCGUCGCCUUGGUAGGMCUUUACCCCACCAACUAGCUAAUCAGACGUCGGCCGCUCGAAUAACGUGAGGUCUUACGAUCCCCCACUUUCCCCCUCAGGGCGUAUGCGGUAUUAGCACAGCUUUCGCUGCGKUAUCCCCCAUUACUCGGUACGUUCCGACGCAUUACUCACCCGUUCGCCACUCGCCACCAGGAGCAAGCUCCCGUGCUGCCGUUCGACUUGCAUGUGUAAAGCAUUCCGCCAGCGUUCAAUCUGAGCCAGGAUCAAACUCUAAUCACUAGUGAAUUCGCGGCCGCCUGCASGUCGACCAUAUGGGAGAGCUCCCAACG
rnacentral:rRNA from 1 species